rnacentral:rRNA from 1 species
UACAGCGGUCAUAGAUGGUUGAAAGUUACCGAUCCCUUCAGAACUCGGAAUGUAAACGGCCAAUCGCAUGGUUAGUACUAUGGGUGGGGGACCACAUGGGAAUACCAUGUACUGCUGAGA